UUUAUAUUUUCGGAAGAAUCCAUUUGGUGGUGAGUAUACAGUCUUUGCUGGAUUAGAAGAAUGCAUAAGGUUCAUUGCUAAUUUCAAAUUCACCGAGGUGAGAUCUCUUUCAUCCGUGAAACUUUGCCUGGUUCUUGUGAGGAUGGCUUCUGUGAUUAUCUUAGAGGACUUGACUGCUCUGAAGUUGAAUUGUAUGCUGUUCCAGAGGGGUCAGUUGUCUUCCCAAAGGUUCCCCUGCCACGAAUUGAAGGGCCAAUUGCUGUGGUUCAAUUGCUGGAAACUCCGUUACUGAAUCUUGUUAAUUAUGCAUCACUGGUGGCAACAAAUGCAGCAAGGCAUCGAUUUGUUGCUGGAAAAUAAAAAAUGCUGCUAGAAUUUGGGCUUCGACGGGCUCAGGGACCCUAUGGUGGAAUAGGAGCAUCAAAGUACUGCUACAUUGGAGGAUUUGAUGCAACAAGGUAAUUUCUGGUGAAAUUAUCUUGCAUCAUGCAUUCAUCUUUACUUCCAUAAGAUAGAUUCUCUUAGCAUUAUUUUGCCUUUCUAAUAUUCCUUCUAAUUCAUAUGAUGAUGAUCAA